GACGAACGCUGGCGGCGUGCUUAACACAUGCAAGUCGAACGGAAAGGCCCUGCUUUUGUGGGGUGCUCGAGUGGCGAACGGGUGAGUAACACGUGAGUAACCUGCCCUUGACUUUGGGAUAACUUCAGGAAACUGGGGCUAAUACCGGAUAGGAGCUCCUGCUGCAUGGUGGUGGUUGGAAAGUUUCGGCGGUUGGGGAUGGACUCGCGGCUUAUCAGCUUGUUGGUGGGGUAGUGGCUUACCAAGGCUUUGACGGGUAGCCGGCCUGAGAGGGUGACCGGCCACAUUGGGACUGAGAUACGGCCCAGACUCCUACGGGAGGCAGCAGUGGGGAAUAUUGCACAAUGGGCGGAAGCCUGAUGCAGCAACGCCGCGUGCGGGAUGACGGCCUUCGGGUUGUAAACCGCUUUCGCCUGUGACGAAGCGUGAGUGGCGGUAAUGGGUAAAGAAGCACCGGCUAACUACGUG
rnacentral:rRNA from 1 species